GUAUGCUUACAGAAAUAAUAUUUCGAGUAUUGAACAAGGAACCUUCCAGGGUCUUCCAAGACUAGAGAUAUUAUAUUUGAAGAAUAAUACGAUCGAGAAUAUCGAUCGCGGUACCUUCCACGGACUUACCAAUUUACAAUUAUUAACUUUGGAGUAUAAUAAGAUCGACAAAAUCGAACGUGGAAUCUUCCAAAAUCUUUACAAUUUACAGAAAUU